GUGUCAGCAGCCGCGGUAAUACAGAGGGGGCAAGCGUUAUUCGGAAUUAUUGGGCGUAAAGGGCGCGUAGGCGGCCGUUCAAGUGGCGGGUGAAAUCCCUCGGCUUAACCGAGGAACUGCCUGCCAGACUGGAUGGCUUGAGACCGGGAGAGGUGAGUGGAAUUCCCAGUGUAGCGGUGAAAUGCGUAGAUAUUGGGAGGAACACCAGUGGCGAAGGCGGCUCACUGGACCGGAACUGACGCUGAGGCGCGAAAGCGUGGGGAGCAAACAGGAUUAGAAACCCCCGUAGUCC
rnacentral:rRNA from 1 species